rnacentral:tRNA from 1 species
GGCUGUGUGGUCUAGUGGUAUAAUUCUCUCUUAGGGUGCGAGAGGUCCCGAGUUCAAUUCACGGCACAGCCC